rnacentral:rRNA from 1 species
UACGUAGGGGCCUAGCGUUGUCCGGAUUUAUUGGGCGUAAAGAGCUCGUAGGCGGUUCGGUAAGUCAGGGGUGAAAUCCCAGGGCUCAACCCUGGAACUGCCUUUGAUACUGUCGAUCUGGAGUAUGGAAGAGGUGAGUGGAAUUCCGAGUGUAGAGGUGAAAUUCGUAGAUAUUCGCAAGAACACCAGUGGCGAAGGCGGCUCACUGGCCCGGUACUGACGCUGAGGUGCGAAAGCGUGGGGAGCAAACAGG